rnacentral:rRNA from 1 species
GUCUUUUUGAGUAUAAUUUAAACUCUGGCCUGCCCACUGAUUUAUUUAAGGGCCGCAGUAUUUUGACUGUGCAAAGGUAGCAUAAUCAUUAGUUUUUUAAUUGGAAGCUGGAAUGAAUGGUUGGACGAAAUAAUAACUGUCUCUAAUAAAUUUAAUGAAUUUAAUUUUUAAUUUAAAAAGAUUAAAUUUUUGUAAAAGACGAGAAGACCCUAUAGAUCUUUAUAUUAUUAUAUUAAAAUAAAUUAAGAUUUAUUUAUUAUUUUAUUAAACUUAAUAUUUUAUUGGGGUAAUAUUAAGAUUUAGUAAAUUCUUAUUUUUUAUUUCAUUGAUUAAUGAUUUUAUGAUCCUGUAUUAUAGGAUAUUAGAUUAAGUUACCUUAGGGAUAACAGCGUAAUUUUUUUUUAGAGUUCUUAUCGAUAAAAAAGUUUGCGACCUCGAUGUUGGAUUAAAAUUAAUUUUAGGUGUAGUAGUUUAAAGUUUUGGUCUGUUCGACCAUUGAAAUUUUACA